rnacentral:tRNA from 1 species
GGUUACUUAGUUCAGUAGGUAGAACAGUUCCUUCAUGCGGAUCUGGUCACUGGUUCGAUUCCAGUAGUAACCACCA